rnacentral:rRNA from 1 species
UGAACCUGCGGAAGNAUCAUUG